UGUUGGGCCUCACGCAACGUGGUCUUGUGAAAUCCGUCAGGUCCGGAAGGAAGCAGCGGUAGCAAAUUCCCAUGUGUGCUGUGAGUUACCCAGCAAUU
rnacentral:SRP_RNA from 2 species